AGAGUUUGAUCAUGGCUCAGAUUGAACGCUGGCGGCAUGCCUUACACAUGCAAGUCGAACGGUAACGGGCCUUCGGGUGCCGACGAGUGGCGAACGGGUGAGUAAUGUAUCGGAACGUACCUUUCAGUGGGGGAUAACGUAGCGAAAGUUACGCUAAUACCGCAUAUUCUGUGAGCAGGAAAGCAGGGGAUCGCAAGACCUUGCGCUGAUUGAGCGGCCGAUAUCAGAUUAGCUAGUUGGUGAGGUAAAGGCUCACCAAGGCGACGAUCUGUAGCGGGUCUGAGAGGAUGAUCCGCCACACUGGAACUGAGACACGGUCCAGACUCCUACGGGAGGCAGCAGUGGGGAAUUUUGGACAAUGGGGGCAACCCUGAUCCAGCCAUGCCGCGUGAGUGAAGAAGGCCUUCGGGUUGUAAAGCUCUUUCGGCCGGGAAGAAAUCGUAUGGGCUAAUACCCUGUGCGGAUGACGGUACCGGCAUAAGAAGCACCGGCUAACUACGUG
rnacentral:rRNA from 1 species